AGUAGCACGUGAGCACGGGAGCCUGUGGGGCAAGCAAGGGAGCGUGGGGGGCCCGGGUGUCUCUCGAUGGUGACCCCGCUGGCCCUGCAGAGUGUCCGAGUUCCUCAUGGGUGAAGUGGACAGCAGCACCCUCCUAGCAGUGCCUCCCGGGGACUCAAGCCAGUCCAUGGAAAGCCUGUAUGGAUCGGGCAGUGAGGGCACCCCUCCCAGCCUGGAUGACUGUGACGCCGGCUGCCUGCCUGCCGAGGAGGUGGACGUGCUGCUGCAGCGCUGUGAGGGGGGCGUGGAUGCCGCACUGCUGUAUGCCAAGAACAUGGCCAAGUACAUGAAGGACCUCAUCAGCUACCUGGAGAAGCGGACGACGCUGGAGAUGGAGUUUGCCAAGGGCCUGCAGAAGAUGGCUCACAACUGCAGACAGAGCGUCACGCAGGAGCCCCACAUGCCGCUCCUGUCUAUCUACUCGCUGGCCCUGGAGCAGGACCUGGAGUUCGGCCACGGCAUGGUGCAGGCGGUGGGCACUUUGCAGACCCAGACCUUCAUGCAG
rnacentral:sRNA from 1 species